UACGUAGGCAGCAAGCGUUGUUCGGAGUUACUGGGCGUAAAGGGUGUGUAGGCGGUUCUCUAAGUUUGGUGUGAAAUCUCCCGGCUCAACUGGGAGGGUGCGCCGAAAACUGGGGGGCUAGAGUACUGGAUGGGAGAGUGGAAUUCCUGGUGUAGCGGUGAAAUGCGUAGAUAUCAGGAGGAAUACCGGUGGCGAAAGCGACUCUCUGGACGGCAACUGACGCUGAGGCACGAAAGCGUGGGGGAGCGAACAGG
rnacentral:rRNA from 1 species